rnacentral:rRNA from 1 species
AUUGAACGCUGGCGGCAGGCCUAACACAUGCAAGUCGAACGAGUGGCGGACGGGUGAGUAAUGUCUGGGAAACUGCCUGAUGGAGGGGGAUAACUACUGGAAACGGUAGCUAAUACCGCAUACCAUCGGAUGUGCCCAGAUGGGAUUAGCUAGUCGGUGGGGUAAAGGCUAACCUAGGCGCCGAUCCCUAGCUGGUCUGAGAGGAUGACCCGCCACACUGGAACUGAGACACGGUCCCGACUCCUACGGUAGGCAGCAGUGGGGAAUGUUGCACAAUGGGCGCAAGCCUUAUGCAGCCAUGCCGCUUGUAUGAAGAAGGCCUUCGGGUUGUAAAGUACUUUCAGCGGGGAGGCGUUACCCGCAGAAGAAGCACCGGCUAACUCCGUGCCAGCAGCCGCGGUAAUAC